GGAAGAUAUACGAGUUUUCACUCCAAACCCUUAUGUGAACCUACCUAUCGUUGCUUCGGCGGACUCGCCCCAGCCGGACGCGGACUGGACCAGCGGCCGCCGGGGACCAUCAAACUCUUGUAUUAUCAGCAUCUUCUGAAUACGCCGCAAGGCAAAACAAAUAAAUUAAAACUUUCAACAACGGAUCUCUUGGCUCUGGCAUCGAUGAAGAACGCAGCGAAAUGCGAUAAGUAAUGUGAAUUGCAGAAUCCAGUGAAUCAUCGAAUCUUUGAACGCACAUUGCGCCCGCCAGCAUUCUGGCGGGCAUGCCUGUUCGAGCGUCAUUUCAACCCUCGACCUCCCUUUGGGGAAGUCGGCGUUGGGGACCGGCAGCACACCGCCGGCCCUGAAAUGGAGUGGCGGCCCGUCCGCGGCGACCUCUGCGUAGUAAACCAACUCGCACCGGAACCCCGACGUGGCCACGCCGUAAAACACCCAACUUCUGAACGUUGACCUCGAAUCAGGUAGGACUACCCGCUGAACUUAAGCAUAUAUUAAGCGGAGGA
rnacentral:rRNA from 1 species